UCGCCGCGUCAAGGGGCUGGAAUGAGGGGAAUCCGCGUGCGGAGGGGUCCGGCGGGCUUCACCCGUCCCGAGUGGCGCAGUCGCAUUCCUAGGAUGCCCGCUGGCGCCCCCGCAGUCACCGCCCCGCAUCGGAAGGAGGGCGCGUCACCGCCGCCCUGUGGGCCUUAGGCCAGCCACAGUCCUGGCAACCUCUCCUGGCCUGCUCCAACUCUCUGGACAGAAGCGUGAGUCCAGAGAGGGGAAGUGAAGUGGAGAACCGAGGGUAUGAGGGACACCGCCAUGCCAGGCGCUUCCUGCGUUCUGAGCUUAUGUCAGUGCGCGGCGCCACACCGUCCUGACAGCCGGUAAUCAUGACCCUGCAUUCCAGGCCCGUCCUCUUCUCUCCAUCCCUUCCACCAGUCGCCAUCUCCUAAGAACCUCACUCCUGCCUCCAUCCUGCUUCUCUUUCGGACCAACAUGAACAGCCCUCUAACUGUUCUCCACGUCUUCCUCUCACCAAUCAAAGAUCCGGUAUCGGCCUGUGGCACUUAUAAAUGCAAAUCUGACAGUUAACAUCUCAAGUCAACGGAGGGAGGUUUACACCGCAAAGCCCCCAGGUGCAAAGCCUGCCCUCACUCUCACAGCUUCCUGUCAAGCCCUUGCGAAUGGACUCGGUUUACUCCACCGCUCCUGUAAGAAUCUAUGACUGCACUGGUAGUCCCCUUCAACCCCCUUCAACCCCUUCUUUCUCCACACUUCCCCCACUGGUACAACCACCACACACAGUCAGGAGGUGUUGCCAACCACCAACCACAUGGAACUUCGUGCGUCUGUGGCUUUGCACCUACAGCUCACUCGGCCUCCCCACCUCACAGUCAUCCCUGAAGAAUCAGCUCAGACAUCCCCUUCUCCACAACAUCUUCCUAAUUUCCGCUAACACACAACCUCCUCCUCACCAAAUCAAGUACUAAACGUCCGUUUCCUUGUUAGACUCUGCCGGGAGACGGCUCCGGUCUUAGCAAGCACUGAGCUAGGCAUUCGCUGGAGAUUCAAUAACCCCCCUCCCCCAAUGGUGGGCGCCUGCAUGAAUGAAUGAAUCUCAGAGGCCAGGAGUGUAAGCAAGAGGCUGGCGCGUGCGGAACAGAAUAAAACAGUGGGCCAGCCA